rnacentral:lncRNA from 10 species
GUGAGCAAACAUUUGCAAGCGCGACUCGCCAUCCUCCUCCCGUGGCCGGGUAUAGUCAUGUGCCUUGACGUAAAUAACUCAAUCCCCAGCACCUGAAGAGCAUUUUCUUCUCUUUAAAGAUUUCAGUGUCUUCCAUAUUUCUAAAACAAAAACAAAAACAACCUCCAUCUAAAAAGUUUGCUAUGAAGCUGAGGGCAGCGGCGCAUACCUGUAGUCCCAGCUACUCAGGAGCCUGGGGCGGGAGGGUCUCUGGAGUCCAGGAUUUGGAGGCUGUAGCGCGCUGUGAUCACACCUGGGAACAGCCACUGCACUCCAGCCUGGACAACAGUAAGCCUCUGUUUCUAGAAAGAGAAAAAUGUUGUUGUUAGUGUCUUUUUUCUUUUUUUUUUUUGAGAUGGAGUCUUGCGUCCCUGUGUCACCCAGGCCGGAGUGCGAUGGUGCGAUCUUGGCUCACUGCAACCUCUGCCUCCUGGGUUCAAGCAAUUCUCCUGCCCCAGCCUUCUGAGUAGCUGGGAUUACAGUCACCCACCAUCACGCCUAGCAAAUUUUUGUAUUUUUGUAGAGAUGGGGUUUCACCAUGUUGGCCAGGAUGGUCUCGAACUCCUGACCUCAGGUGAUCUGCCCACCUUGGUUUCCCAAAGUGCUGGAAUUACAGGUGUGAGCCACUGUGGCUGGCCUGUUGUUAGUCUCUUUUGAGAGCUACCUCGGACCAGGGUGACAAGAAUGGCUCUGGACUGGAUAAUUUCUCUCUGGAGGUGUUUGGUGUUUAUUCCCUUUGACUGUGGCAGCGGACUUUAAUUAUGCCAGCAUUAACCCUCGUGUCAAGAAGGGAAGAAUGAAGAAGCACUCAGGCACCAUCCUCCCCAACCUUUCAAAAGGCAGUUAAUCUCUGCGUGAGCCGACACUUCCAAACAAGCCUGAAAUUAGUGGACAUCAAUUGUGCCGAAAACAAGGGGAGAUUGUUUGCGACUCGGGCCUGUUUGCUUUAAAAUUCACUUUGGUUCCCUGUCAAACACGCUGCGCGGGGUGUGAGCCAGGCCUGAGUCUUUGAAGGACUGGCUGUCGUGCCGGGUUCCAAACCAUUGACUUUGUCAGCUAGUGACUUGCAGAGGACCUGAACGCACGGGGCCCCUGGUGUCUUUCUUACCCUCUCUGAGACAUAACAGGAUGCCAAAAUCGCCAGGUUCAAAAUGGUGCUUCCAAUUAUUUUCUCUUCUAUAGUCUUCGAUGUGCUAUUGAAGUCUAUCUGCUCAUCGAUCCCCUCUCUCCACUUUCAACAUUUCCUAAUUGCCUCAUCAAAACUCCUCGACGAUUCAUUUUAUGAUUUAUUUAGUCACCAGGCUCUGCUUGUGUAGGUCUGAUGCAUGAGGGAUACCUGCGCGCCUGGGCACUGCGGAGGGGAGAGGGAGGAAGGAAUAAGAGAGAUAAAUGCAGCCUGAACUGAGUCCAGAGACCAGUGAGGAAGGAGCAACACCCACGUGUAAAACUCAGAGUUGUAAAAGCUAUGGAUUGUGUAUUUAUUCCAGAUUUUGCAAAUAACCUCCCCCAACUUGCCACCUGCCUGGCGGAUUUGUCCACAGUGACCUUGGCUGAACCACCUCAUCCUUCACUGUCCAGCAAACGGACUCAGAGCACAGCACAGGGCUCCGGGGCGCUCGGACGUGAUGGGAUGGGUCCCUCACCUAGCAGGUUCUAAAAGCCUGGGUGAAUGGAUCAAACAGGCCUUGGCUGAGCCCACCCACUGCAGCCGAUCCCCAUGGGGGACCCGCUCUGCCGCUGGAGCCCCGAUGGCGCUGAAAGCCUGAAACGCUGGUGUUGCCCUGACUGGCUCUCCCGUCCAGCUCCUGGCCGGCCUCUGACGCUGACCUGAGUCUGGGAGCACAGUGUUCCCACCCAGGCAUCCCGACAGCAUGUCCAGCUUGAGUUCGCCCUGCCCAGGUGUCCUGUCUACCUCUGCUGCAUUCCCUCCAUCUCUGCCCAGUGGUAACAGCGCCACGCCUUGCCAUGCCUGGGCAGUGCCUGAGGGCAAAGGAAAAAUAUGAUCUCUGCCUGAAAAUCCCAACAGAUCCUCCAACAGACCCACAUGGACAGCACAGAGGCACAGGGGCAGCUGCAGAUAACCACUGUACAGACUCUCCAGAAGCAAAGGGAGGUCCUUUGGUGGGAGGCACAGGUGCAAGUGAGAGAAAGGAGGCCACGCCAGCACCACCUGCAAUGCGGAAAGACAGAGGCUGGCAGUGGGUGCGAGAGAAGGACUGUGGGGGCCGGGUUGGGGUCCCAGCCAGCGUGAGGGUGACGUGGCCCUCGCCCCCCUCCAUCUGCACACAGGUGAUCUGCAUGGAGAGGCGCUGAAGCUGAAUGAGACAAUUCGGUUCUUCAUCCUCCUUAGGCCUGUGAGAGACUGGAUCUGGGGAGUGAGGAUGGUGAGUCUUGGCUGAGCCGGUGCUGACGCCUCGCCUGUCAGUCAAAGGAGGUUGCGCAGCCCCCAGCUCUGCUGAGGGAGGAGGAGCCAUUGCCCAUGGAGGCGACUGGCCUCGUUCCACGCCCCUCGUGUGAGCUCCAGGAAUCAGACAUCCCACUAAUCACCGGGUUAAAAAGAUGACCAAGGCCCUGCCCCACCAUUAAGGCUGCAAGGGCAGAGGAGGACGUGAGCUCAGUGGUCUCCUGAACUUGUGCCUUCAAGGUGAGCAAUGCCUGAUGACAGCUCCCCUCCCCUUCCUUCGACCAUUCCCCUUUCCUGUGGUCCCAACAGUUCCUCCCAGGGUGCUGCACCGAGUCCUGUGCCCAGAAAGCCGAAGACCGGUGGCUUCGUGCAAAGGUUAAACUGUGAGACCACCAUGUCCUGCUGUCAGGACCCCCACCCCUUGGGAGUUUACU